ensembl:lncRNA
CUGACUUCUCAGCUUCUCUACUCUGUCUCAUGCUGAACUACAUAAAUUGAACAGAUACUCUAUUUAGGACAAGUAAUUCUGCAUAUAAAAUAAAGAUUAUCACCUAACUGAAGCAGAAGAGAACAAAUUGGUUCCACUUUAUUUUGAGUUGAAGAAAUCUUGAAACAGGAAGUCAACAUGACUGAUCAUUCUCUGUGAGUAGAAAACGACUCUAUGCUUCUAACGAAAGUUCAUAAUUGUUAUGUUGCAGAAGGAGGCAGGAUAUAUGCGCAGGGAAAAGAGAGCACUUUUAUUAAAGUAACUAAAACUUGAAAACUGAAAACAGAACAACGUACAAUGGAAGGGAAUCCAAACAUUAACUAACAAGACACAUGAGGACGGUGGAACACAGGUGAACACAGUAAGAGAAGCUGCUGCCUAGGCAGGGGCUAAUGGGAGGUGACUUUUACAGGACUACCAGUUUUUUACAAUGUUGUCAAACCUGUUUCGAACCUCUUGCGAGUACUAAGGAAUGAAGCGUGAAUGGUCUCAGUUGGAUGGAGGCAGUGAGGACCAGGGAGGGGCUGAUGUUUAUUUAAAUGCUGAAACCAAGGAUUUGAUAUCCAGUGGCAGAGACAAGCUACGAUCCUGGGCCGACCCAAUAAACUCUGUCAACAGAGUUCUUAAGCAUAUCAACUCUGGGGAUGAUGUCAAUUGUGUUUACCUCAAAGACUCAAUCAACAAGAAAUUUGUGAGCUUUUAUGAAGACAUCACAGAGGAAUGUGGAUUGGAAGAUAAGCAGCAUUCAUGGGGUAUUCUAGAGAAACCAGAGGAAGUCAUCAUGUAUGGCCCCUUCUACCCAAAUUAUAACAAUGGACAACACAGCGAAGACAUUUUCAUCAAACAAACUGAUGAACUUCUUGUAUCAGAGGAUGUUUCUAAAGACUGGUGUGUGUAUAUAUUCACCUUGAACAGCCCCUGCUUAUCAAGAAACAUUGGACCAUGUAUGCUAAAUCUAAUGCAGAAGGCUAUUGAAUGGUACACCCAAUACGGAGUUAGGAC